AUCAGUGUAAUACAGUUUUAGCUCACAAGGUGUCGACCUGGGUUUACAAUCCUGCAUAUCGAACCUGUCAAGUAGCUUGUCAACAUAACUCUGCUGUGACAUGGUCACACAUCCAUUACACUGGUUAAAAGUGAUACCAAGAAAAUUCUUCAGUCUGCCCAAAUCUUUCAUCUGGAACUUAACAGUAAACUUCUCUUUAACUGCUUUUAAAGCUCUCUCAUCACUGGCUGCAAUAACCAGGUCAUCAACCCAGAUCAGUAUGAUCACCUUGUCAUGUUCGGUUUCUCUAACAUAAACACAAUAAUCGGCUGGGUUCUGUACAAACAUGUUUUCACAUAGAUAGUCAUGCAACAUUUUGUUCCAGUUUCGACCUGAUUGUUUAAGCCCAUAUAGUGACUUCUCUAGUCUACACACCAACUUCUCACUUGUCUGUGAUUUUACAUCAUAACCCUCUGGCUGUUCCAUGUAAAUCUCACAAUCAAUUGGUGCAUGUAGGUAGGCAGUUUUAACAUCCAUCUGAUGUAGGAUCAGAUCCUCUUGGGCAGCUUUCUGCAUCAAAACUCUCACACUAGUUAGGUCAGCAGUAGGAGAAAACGUUUCUCCAUAGUCUACACCCAUCUGUUGACUGUAUCCCUUGGCUACAUAGCGGGCCUUGUACUUGUCAGAUCCAUCAACAUUGGUUUUGACAGUGUACACCCAUCUACCCCCCACUGCUUUCUUGCCCACAGGUAAGGUGGUCAGAGUAAAUGUUAUGUUAUCCCUCAGUGCCUUCAUCUCCUCAUCCAUUGCAUCUACCCACUCUCUUGAGUUGGAUAAAGUCACAGCAUCUCUGAACGUCUGAGGGUAUCUCCGUGGAGACUGGGAUUCUGGCUUGACCUCACCUGUCUGUAGGCCUAUCUGGCUUGGACCUGGCCUAGCCUCUGGGAUGUCGUUCUGCUCGGGUUUGUCGGGGUCAGGUCUGGUUGUGCUAGACUGCACACCACUGUCAUCGUCUGACAUGCCAUCAGUCUGCGGUCCCUCAACACAGGACAUGAACCUCACCAGUCUGUGCUUCAUCACCUUCCUGCUGUCAGGGUAGUAGACCAUAUAGGCUGGACUGUUCUUAUCAUAACCAACAAAGAUGCCUUUGUCAGACCUUGACUCUAGCUUCUUCCUGUCCUGCCUAUAGGCGUAACACACAUUACCAAACUUCUGCAUCCUGGAGACAUUAGGUCUCCUUCCUGUCAGCAUAAAGUAAGGUGUCUCUCUGGUGCGGUUGUUAAAACAUCUAUUCCUCACCACUGCUGCUGUCUGGACCGCAUACGGCCAUAGCUCCUUGGCUAACUGGCUCUCCAAGAGCAUACAUCUAGCCAUGACAAAAAGGGUUCUCCAGUUACGCUCUGCGGUGCCAUUCUGGUGUGGUGAGUAUGGUGCUGAUGUUUCAUGUCUGAUUCUAUUUCUACGCAGUAGGGCUUGGUAACCCUGCCCUGUGAACUCAGUACCAUUGUCAGACCUGAUA